rnacentral:tRNA from 1 species
GCGUCGGUAGUGUAACGGUUAACAUUGGGUCUUCCCAUGGCCUAGCUCCGGGUUCGACUCCCGGCCGACGCA